rnacentral:tRNA from 2 species
GCGCACGUAGCUCAGCUGGAUAGAGCGUUUGGCUACGGACCAGAAGGUCAGGGGUUCGAAUCCUCUCGUGCGUA